ACUCGCUAAAUCAGAUGAUUCUGCGACUUUGACCCUUCAUCCCGUCACGAUUCUAGUCUUCGUCUUAAAGACAGCCAUUUGUGUAAUAUCGCCGAGUAAAGACGCAGAUUCGCUAGAAUCGCGGCUCUACCAUCGUGUAGCAUCUAGCGAAGCAAUCUGAAAGAGGAAUAUGGUUUCUUAGCCAAUCAGUGGUAAAGAGGAAUGAAAUUCUAGCAAACACGCUGAAACACUCAUGCAUGGGGGAAGAACACUUCCAAGAAACACAAACCCUCACUCAAAUUUCAUUUCUCCAUAACUUUUGAUCUGGAGCUCCGAUUGACGAGCCGUCAGCGGCCACGGGUUUAACUUCGAAUUCUCUACAAAACUCACAUAUCAAUUUGAUUGUGUAUCUUGUUGAAUUGGAGUUAAAUUGGUGGAUAUUGGAAGCUUAGAAUUGAAUCCUGAGAGCUGAAAAUUCAAUUGGGGGAGGAUUUGGAGCUUUGAAGCUUGAGGAACGGUGGAUAAUUGUAGUGUUUCGAGCUUUAGGGAGGAAUCAUCCAAGGGAUUUCAGAGAUUACAUGGCAGGAAUGGUUUAGAGGAUGGAAAGGAAGCAUGCAAAAGUGGAAGGAAUACAAGAAACUGAAGGAAUUGCCAAAGCUGUCAACCUGACCUCUUCGCACUCAAACAAUCAUAACUUGAGCUAAAGAGGUCCAAAUGAUGUGGUUUCAGUUGCAUUGGAAAGCUAACAUCCGGGGCUUCACAACGAUAUAUAAUUUGCCAUAGCUGCAUCGAAGUUAGGUGACGCAAACACGUGGAUGACGCGCCCGUGUCGCAUCUGCGAACUUUAAUCCACGCAAACGCGUGGACGAUGCCUCCGUAUCACUUUCCCACGACCUGUACGUACCAUAGUGAUUUUUGGGAUGUUUCUGACCCAGUUUUUGGCCCAGAAAACACAGAUUAGAGGCUAUAAAGUGGGAGAAUCCAUUCAUUUAUCAUGGAUACUUCAGAUUAGAUCAUAAUACACUUUUCAUAAUUUAGAUGUAGUUUUUAGAGAGAGAGGUUCUCUCCUCUCUCUUAGGAUUAGGAUUUAGAAUUUAGGACUUAGAAUUUCUUUUAACCUUAGGAUUAUCUCAUCUUCAUAUCAGGUUCAAUAUUCCUUUAUUUUGACUUCUCUUAUUUGUUAAUUUUAUAUGUUGCCAAAUUGGCUUAUAGACCAUUCAUGUUAUGAUUUUCUUAAUUAAUACACAUUGAGGUAUU